rnacentral:rRNA from 1 species
UACAGAGGGCUCAAGCGUUGUUCGGAUUCAUUGGGCGUAAAGGGUGUGUAGGUGGCGCCGUAAGUCGGGUGUGAAAUUUCGGAGCUUAACUCCGAAACUGCAUUCGAUACUGCGGUGCUUGAGGACUGGAGAGGAGACUGGAAUUCAUGGUGUAGCAGUGAAAUGCGUAGAGAUCAUGAGGAAGACCAGUGGCGAAGGCGGGUCUCUGGACAGUUCCUGACACUGAGGCACGAAGGUCAGGGGAGCAAACGGG